rnacentral:rRNA from 1 species
GACGAACGCUGGCGGCGUGCCUAAUACAUGCAAGUCGAGCGGACCGAACAGGAGCUUGCUAUUGUUCGGUUAGCGGCGGACGGGUGAGUAACACGUGGGUAACCUGCCCGUAAGACCGGGAUAACUCCGGGAAACCGGAGCUAAUACCGGAUAACACCGAAGACCGCAUGGUCUUUGGUUGAAAGGCGGCUUCGGCUGCCACUUACGGAUGGGCCCGCGGCGCAUUAGCUAGUUGGUGAGGUAACGGCUCACCAAGGCGACGAUGCGUAGCCGGCCUGAGAGGGUGACCGGCCACACUGGGACUGAGACACGGCCCAGACUCCUACGGGAGGCAGCAGUAGGGAAUCUUCCGCAAUGGACGAAAGUCUGACGGAGCGACGCCGCGUGAGCGAAGAAGGUCUUCGGAUCGUAAAGCUCUGUUGUUAGGGAAGAAGAAGCGUCGUUCGAACAGGGCGGCGCGGUGACGGUACCUAACGAGAAAGCCCCGGCUAACUACGUG